rnacentral:rRNA from 1 species
GUACACAAAAAUGCACAUAUUGUGAGCUCGAUGAGUAGGGCGGGACACGUGGUAUCCUGUCUGAAUAUGGGGGGACCAUCCUCCAAGGCUAAAUACUCCUGACUGACCGAUAGUGAACCAGUACCGUGAGGGAAAGGCGAAAAGAACCCCGGCGAGGGGAGUGAAAAAGAACCUGAAACCGUGUACGUACAAGCAGUGGGAGCCUCUUAAUGGGGUGACUGCGUACCUUUUGUAUAAUGGGUCAGCGACUUAUAUUCUGUAGCAAGGUUAACCGAAUAGGGGAGCCGAAGGGAAACCGAGUCUUAACUGGGCGUUAAGUUGCAGGGUAUAGACCCGAAACCCGGUGAUCUAGCCAUGGGCAGGUUGAAGGUUGGGUAACACUAACUGGAGGACCGAACCGACUAAUGUUGAAAAAUUAGCGGAUGACUUGUGGCUGGGGGUGAAAGGCCAAUCAAACCGGGAGAUAGCUGGUUCUCCCCGAAAGCUAUUUAGGUAGCGCCUCGUGAAUUCAUCUCCGGGGGUAGAGCACUGUUUCGGCAAGGGGGUCAUCCCGACUUACCAA